rnacentral:miRNA from 1 species
UAGAAGAUCAUUGGUUA